rnacentral:rRNA from 1 species
GGUCAAGUGAAUAAGCGCAUACGGUGGAUGCCUAGGCGGUAGUAGGCGAUGAAGGACGUGGAAAUCUGCGAUAUGCCUCGAGGAGCUGAUAAACGAGCUUUGAUCCGGGGAUCUCCGAAUGGGAAAACCCACCCUGCUUGCAGGGUAUCGUUAACUGAAUACAUAGGUUAACGAGGCGAACCUGGGGAACUGAAACAUCUAAGUACCCAGAGGAAAAGAAAUCAACCGAGAUUCCCUUAGUAGCGGCGAGCGAACGGGGACCAGCCCUAAACUCUUUAUUUACCUAGCGGAACAGUCUGGAAAGUCUGGCCAUAGUGGGUGAUAGCCCCGUACGCGAAAGGUGUUUAAAGAUUAUUCGAGUAGGACGGCGCACGUGAAACGUUGUCUGAACAUGGGGGGACCAUCCUCCAAGGCUAAAUACUAACUACCGACCGAUAGUGAACCAGUACCGUGAGGGAAAGGCGAAAAGAACCCCUGUUAGGGGAGUGAAAUAGAACCUGAAACCGUAUGCAUACAAGCAGUGGGAGCAGACUUGUUCUGUGACCGCGUACCUUUUGUAUAAUGGGUCAGCGACUUACUUCUCAGUGGCAAGCUUAACCGUUUAGGGGAGGCGUAGGGAAACCGAGUCUUAAUAGGGCGUCAUAGUCGCUGGGAGUAGACCCGAAACCGGGCGAUCUAUCCAUGGCCAGGUUGAAGGUGCAGUAACAUGCACUGGAGGACCGAACCCACCUAUGUUGAAAAAUGGGGGGAUGAGCUGUGGAUCGGAGUGAAAGGCUAAUCAAGCCCGGAGAUAGCUGGUUCUCCUCGAAAGCUAUUUAGGUAGCGCCUCGCGUCUCACUCCUGGGGGUAGAGCACUGUUAUGGCUAGGGGGCCAUCCCGGCUUACCAAACCAUUGCAAACUCCGAAUACCAGGAAGUGCAAUCGCGGGAGACACACGGCGGGUGCUAACGUCCGUCGUGGAAAGGGAAACAACCCAGACCGCCAGCUAAGGUCCCAAAAUUACAGCUCAGUGGGAAACGAUGUGGGAAGGCACAGACAGCUAGGAGGUUGGCUUAGAAGCAGCCAUCCUUUAAAGAAAGCGUAAUAGCUCACUAGUCAAGUCGGCCUGCGCGGAAGAUUUACCGGGGCUAAGCUGUAUACCGAAGCUGCGGGUGCGCGUCAUUUAUGGCGUUGCACGGUAGAGGAGCGUUCUGUAAGCCUGUGAAGGUGUGCUGUAAGGCAUGCUGGAGGUAUCAGAAGUGCGAAUGCUGACAUGAGUAACGAUAAUGCGGGUGAAAAACCCGCACGCCGAAAACCCAAGGUUUCCUGCGCAACGCUAAUCGGCGCAGGGUUAGUCGGUACCUAAGGCAAGGCCGAAAGGCGUAGUCGAUGGAAAACAGGUUAAUAUUCCUGUACCGCACAUUACUGCGAUGGGGUGACGGAGAAGGCUAGACGAGCACAGCGAUGGUUGUCUGUGUUUAAGCGUGUAGGCUGAGAUCUUUGGCAAAUCCGGGAUCUCUUAAGGCUGAGACGUGAUGACGAGCACCACUAUGGAGCGAAGUCGUCGAUGCCAUGCUUCCAGGAAAAACCUCUAAGCUUCAGGUCAUGUGUGGCCGUACUCUAAACCAACACAGGUGGGUGGGGUGAGAAUCCCAAGGCGCUUGAGAGAACUCGGGUGAAGGAACUAGGCAAAAUGGUACCGUAACUUCGGGAGAAGGUACGCCCUUGCCGGUGAUCGGAUUUACUCCGUAAGCUGGUGGGGGUUGCAAUAAACUGGUGGCUGCGACUGUUUACUAAAAACACAGCACUCUGCAAACUCGUAAGAGGACGUAUAGGGUGUGACGCCUGCCCGGUGCCGGAAGGUUAAUUGAUGGGGUUAUCUUCGGAGAAGCUCCUGAUCGAAGCCCCGGUAAACGGCGGCCGUAACUAUAACGGUCCUAAGGUAGGGAUUGCUGCCUUAGUAAAAUUUGGCUAUAUGCUGGAAACUCCGAGUAUCCGUUAGUACUCGUUCAGAAUUAUUCUGUUCAGUAAAAAUCUACACGGUGCGGACAAUCAGCAGGAAAGACUGAUCAAUCGCGAUCAGAAUCCUCAGAGACUACACGCCAAACAUCCAAAUUCUUUUGGAUGAAGAUAUAGUCCCAUCUGCAUGGCGAUAUGCAGGAGUGACAAUUUUAAGAUGUCACUCGGCUUACCAUGGAGGUAAGUCAAGAUAAUCGAGCGAAAUUCCUUGUCGGGUAAGUUCCGACCUGCACGAAUGGCGUAACGAUGGCCACACUGUCUCCACCCGAGACUCAGUGAAAUUGAAUUCGCAGUUAAGAUGCUGCGUACCCGCGGCUAGACGGAAAGACCCCGUGAACCUUUACUACAGCUUCGCACUGAACUUUGAGCCUACUUGUGUAGGAUAGCUGGGAGACUUUGAAGCGUUAUCGCCAGAUUGCGUGGAGUCAACCUUGAAAUACCAGCCUGGUAUGUUUGGAGUUCUAACCUAGGUCCAUUAUCUGGAUCAGGGACAGUGUGUGGUGGGUAGUUUGACUGGGGCGGUCUCCUCCGAAAGAGUAGCAGAGGAGCGCGAAGGUACCCUCGGCACGUUUGGAAAUCGUGCUAUGAGUGCAAUGGCAUAAGGGUGCUUGACUGCGAGACAGACACGUCGAGCAGGGUCGAAAGACGGUCAUAGUGAUCCGGUGGUUCUGUAUGGAAGGGCCAUCGCUCAACGGAUAAAAGGUACUCCGGGGAUAACAGGCUGAUACCGCCCAAGAGUUCAUAUCGACGG